CACAAAUUCCUGAAAAUAAAUUAGCCGUGAUUUGCGGAAAAAAUGUUCUUAAUUAUUUUUUCCCGCAUGAUGUCCUUUCAGGUUCCAGGAAACAGCACGGGCAUGUAUUAGGCAUAAUAAGUUAAGAAAUCUGAAACUCAAAGGAAAACUGAUUA